GGCGCACGGGUGAGUAACACGUUGGGUAAUCUGCCUUCAGGACAGGGAUAACGGAGGGAAACCUUCGCUAAUACCAGAUAAGACCACGUUCCCACGGGGAUGUGGUAAAAGAGUGGCCUCUGCAUGCAAGCUUCUGCCUGGGGAUGAGCCCGCGGCCCAUUAGCUAGUUGGUGGGGUAAUGGCCUACCAAGGCGACGAUGGGUAGCUGGUCUGAGAGGACGAUCAGCCACACUGGGACUGAGACACGGCCCAGACUCCUACGGGAGGCAGCAGUGGGGAAUAUUGCGCAAUGGGCGAAAGCCUGACGCAGCAACGCCGCGUGUGUGAUGAAGGCCUUCGGGUUGUAAAGCACUGUCA
rnacentral:rRNA from 1 species